UGCACGGAUACGCGCCACUGUACUACGACCCAACCAUGAUGGCCAACUCGGCCAUGGCGGCUCAGCUUCAGCCCGGCUCGGCCGCCGCCGCCGCCGCUGCCGCCGCUGCUGCCGCCGCCCAGGCCGCCAUGCUCAAGGCCACACCCGUCUCGAUGUCGCAGCAGGCGGCCGGCGCCGCCGCCUAUAACGCGGCCGCGGCGCGCGCCUACACGGCCGCGAUGA